GCAUUAGAACUUGAUUUUUUCGGAAUGAAGGUUCAUAUGACUGAGUGGCGGACGGGUGAGUAACGCAUGGGCAACCUGCCUUACACAGGGAGACAACAGCUGGAAACGGCUGCUAAUACCGCAUAAGCGCACGGUCUCGCAUGAGACAGUGUGAAAAACUCCGGUGGUGUAAGAUGGGCCCGCGUCUGAUUAGCUGGUUGGUGGGGUAACGGCUUACCAAGGCGACGAUCAGUAGCCGACCUGAGAGGGUGACCGGCCACAUUGGGACUGAGACACGGCCCAAACUCCUACGGGAGGCAGCAGUGGGGGAUAUUGGACGAUGGGGGGAACCCUGAUCCAGCGACGCCGCGUGAGUGAAGAAGUAUUUCGGUAUGUAAAGCUCUGUCAGCAGGGAAGAAAGAAAUGACGGUACCUGACCAAGAAGCCCCGGCUAACUACGUGCCAGCAGCCGCGGUAAUACGUAUGGAGCAAGCGUUAUCCGGAUUUACUGGGUGUAAAGGGAGCGUAGGCGGUAAGGCAAGUCUGAUGUGAAAGGCCAGGGCUCAACCCUGGGACUGCAUUGGAAACUGUUUAACUGGAGUGUCGGAGAGGCAAGUGGAAUUCCUAGUGUAGCGGUGAAAUGCGUAGAUAUUAGGAGGAACACCAGUGGCGAAGGCGGCUUGCUGGACGAUGACUGACGCUGAGGCUCGAAAGCGUGGGGAGCAAACAGGAUUAGAUACCCUGGUAGUCCGCGCCGUANACGAUGAAUACUAGGUGUCGGGUGGCAAAGCCAUUCGGUGCCGCAGCAAACNCAGUAAGUAUUCCACCUGGGGAGUACGUUCGCA
rnacentral:rRNA from 1 species